GAUGAACGCUGACAGAAUGCUUAACACAUGCAAGUCGACUUGAAGCAACUUCGGUUGUGGAAAGUGGCGGACGGGUGAGUAACGCGUAAAGAACUUGCCCUUCAGUCUGGGACAACCAUUGGAAACGAUGGCUAAUACCGGAUAUUAUGGAACUCUCGCAUGGGAGGAUCAUGAAAGCUAUAUGCGCUGAAGGAGAGCUUUGCGUUCCAUUAGCUAGUUGGUGAGGUAACGGCUCACCAAGGCGACGAUGGAUAGCCGGCCUGAGAGGGUGAUCGGCCACAAGGGGACUGAGACACGGCCCUUACUCCUACGGGAGGCAGCAGUGGGGAAUAUUGGACAAUGGACCAAAAGUCUGAUCCAGCAAUUCUGUGUGCACGAUGAAGGUUUUCGGAUCGUAAAGUGCUUUCAGUUGGGAAGAAGAAAGUGACGGUACCAACAGAAGAAGCGACGGCUAAAUACGUGCCAGCAGCCGCGGUAAUACGUAUGUCGCAAGCGUUAUCCGGAUUUAUUGGGCGUAAAGCGCGUCUAGGCGGAUUCAUAAGUCUGAUGUUAAAAUGCGGGGCUCAACUCCGUAUUGCGUUGGAAACUGUGAAUCUAGAGUAUCAGAGAGGUGGGCGGAACUACAAGUGUAGAGGUGAAAUUCGUAGAUAUUUGUAGGAAUGCCGAUGGAGAAGUCAGCUCACUGGAUGAACACUGACGCUAAAGCGCGAAAGCGUGGGUAGCAAACAGG
rnacentral:rRNA from 1 species